GUAAAUAAUCCAUUAGAAAGAGAAGGAGAUGCUAGGUAGUCUUUCUACAAGCGAAUAAACCCCAAAUCUGUGAUCAAGUACUGUGUAUACAAAACAAACUGGCACAUUGAGGAACAUACAGGAGCUCUCUAGAGAUUCUUGAAGAUGGAUUUUGAAUCAGGAUCCAGGUCCUUUUUACAGGCUCUUCUACACACACUCCUGGAAGACAGAUUCAGCUGCAUGUUUAAGAUGUGUAAUACAUAUAAUCUAAGGGAACGGGGCUCCAGAGGUACAGAUUCUCUGGCAGUGCAGCAGAUGUUUCCCAGGUUUAAACACAUGGAAGGAAAGCCUGGCCCAACUGCAGGGGAGGUGGUUGCUCCUCAGAUGUGCUUUUACCUGGAAUGACCUUAGGGAAGGAAAAGAGGACACCUGUUUUACAGUUAGAUAGUCAGCAUUGCAAUUUGGCAAAUCCACUGAUUCCUGGGAGGUCUGUAUUGCCCAGAUCCUCCAAACUUUUGUUUUAGAGAAACCAGAUCUGAUGCUUUAUGGCAUGCAAUAAAAGAAACAGUCAGCACA
rnacentral:lncRNA from 14 species